rnacentral:rRNA from 1 species
UGGGGAAUAUUGCACAAUGGGCGCAAGCCUGAUACAGCCAUGCCGCGUGUAUGAAGAAGGCCUUCGGGUUGUAAAGUACUUUCAGCGGGGAGGAAGGCGAUAAGGUUAAUAACCUUGUCGAUUGACGUUACCCGCAGAAGAAGCACCGGCUAACUCCGUGCCAGCAGCCGCGGUAAUACGGAGGGUGCAAGCGUUAAUCGGAAUUACUGGGCGUAAAGCGCACGCAGGCGGUCUGUCAAGUCGGAUGUGAAAUCCCCGGGCUCAACCUGGGAACUGCAUUCGAAACUGGCAGGCUAGAGUCUUGUAGAGGGGGGUAGAAUUCCAGGUGUAGCGGUGAAAUGCGUAGAGAUCUGGAGGAAUACCGGUGGCGAAGGCGGCCCCCUGGACAAAGACUGACGCUCAGGUGCGAAAGCGUGGGGAGCAAACA